AGGAUGGGCAUGCGUCCCAUUAGUUAGUUGGUAAGGUAAUGGCUUACCAAGCCUAUGACGGGUAGCCGAUCUGAGAGGAUGCUCGGCCGCAAUGGGACUGAGACACGGCCCAUACUCCUACGGGAGGCAGCAGUGGGGAAUCUUGGACAAUGGAGGAAACUCUGAUCCAGCGAUCCCGCGUGGAGGAUGACGCCUUAUGGGGUGUAAACUCCUUUUUUGGGGGAAGACAACUGACGGUACCCCAAGAAUAAGGAACGGCUAACUACGUGCCAGCAGCCGCGGUAAUACGUAGGUUCCAAGCGUUAUCCGGAUUUACUGGGCGUAAAGCGUCCGUAGCCGGUCGUAUAAGUCUGUUUUCAAAUAUCAUCGCUCAACGAUGAAAAGGGAAUGGAUACUGUACAACUAGAAGUUGUGAGGGGUUAGUGGAAUUUCCGGUGGAGCGGUGAAAUGCGUUGAUAUCGGAAGGAACGCCAAAAGCGAAGGCAGCUAACUAUUACAAACUUGACGGUAAGGGACGAAAGUCUGGGUAGCAAACGGGAUUAGAUACCCCGGUAGUCCAGACCGUAAAU
rnacentral:rRNA from 1 species